rnacentral:sRNA from 1 species
CAUGAAUGCCCCUGCCUCCAGGGGACAUUCCAGAAAGGGCUGACCCAUUAGCUCACACGCAGAUGAAUGCAUUCACAGUCAGACAGAGAGGUGGCCCACACCCAAGUCCCUGUAUGAUGAAACUCCAUUCACAGGGUUUCCAGCUACAAGACUCGGACUGGAUUUUAAUGUUGCUUCUCCCUCAUACCCUUGCACUUGGUCAUUUUUCUUUUUUAGCUACUAGUGAGGUUACUAAGUGUCCACAGUAUAUUGUGCUCUGGACUGGCUACUGAAGACACACGUUAAUACAAACCAAGUCACCAUAGGUCUAUCCGCAAGGGGCUCAUAAUCCGCGUCUGUAUAUUGUUAGUAAGAGUAGUUGAGUGGUUAACAGUUAGUGUGCUGAAAAAAAACCCCUGAAUUCUAGCUAAUGCAUGUAGCUCAUAGUCAGGCUUGCUUCUAGAGUUCACCACAGGACCGAGGGUAGGCAGAGGGGAAUUGGAUAAAUUUUGAAUUAGUGACACAAAAUAAAUAAUCCUCAACAGGCAAAGCAUUUGCCAUUGGAAUUUUAUUUUUAGUUAUUGGAUCGAUUAAUUUUCUCGUUGCUGUGAUCACAUAUAUGAAGACAUCCACUUAGUGAAGGAAGGGUCUAUUUCGGCUCACAGACUGAAAGUACAAUUUCCGGUGAGGAAGGUGUGGUAGCCUGGCCGAGGCUUCUGGUCACAUUGUAUCUUCAGUCAAUAAACAGAGAGGGAUAAAGGCUGGUGAUCAACUGGUUUCACCUCUCCCCCUUAUUAUUCAGUUUGGGACCCCAUUCUGUGGGAUGGUACCACCACACUCAGGGUAGGCCUCCCUCAUUAAAUCUCUCUGGAAAUGCCCUCGAUAUGCCCAGAGAUGUGUCUCCUGUGUGAUUCAAAGUCCACUCAAGUUAUUAGCGAAGCGUGAGCAUCACAUCAAGGUGUGUCCUUUAGUACUUUUACAAAUGGUAAGUAUUAUUUCAGCUUUACAAGUGAAACAAACAAAACAAACAAACAAACAAACAAACAAAAAAACUAAAACACAUUCUAUAAAGGUAGAUGAUUCCCCUCCCCAAGAAUUCCCUAGACUGGAUUCAACCCAGGUCAUCUCUUUGCAGUCUCUCCCUUGUUCUGCCCUAGCUUGCCUUUGACUGAUGGACAUUUACUGACUAUAGUGGGGAUGUUUUGGAUGUCAAGGGUAAUUGUGACAACAGGCAUGCUGUGACUGACUCGUAACCUUUGCAAUAGAACUGGACCUAAAGACACAGUUGCCUCUGGAGCAUGGUGACAAAAGCUUACUGCUGAGAGAUCCUGUGGAUGGGCUCUAAUAGAACAGAGUGACAGAAACCUCUCACCAAGAACUAAUGCCAGCAUCAGGUAAUGUGUAAUACAAACCAAGCACUUGAUGCCUGUCAGCAUGUAAUGAUCUCCUUCAGUACUUAUGAUAGCUCCACAGGGUGGGGACAGUUACCAACAUCCCUAAGUCGAAGAUGAAGAACCAAGGCCCAGAGAGUCUCAGGACUUGGCUGGAGUUAGAGUUCUAAUGCAGGAAGACAGAUUCUAUUGCUUCCGGAACAUAGCAGAGAAGCUGUUGGUCAUCAAGCGUGUGUUUCUGGGUCCUCCUGUAUUCAGCACUACGGAGUUAGGGUGCUGUUCUAAGAAACUGGAUUGGGUGAGACACGUCCCAAAAUAGAGAGCAGCUUCUCUGUGGGAAUGAAGAACAAGUGGAUGAAUCUGUUUCUAGCAUUUGCUGUCACCACAGUUGUCACUGUGUUGCUGAUUUCAGGAUUGGCCAUGCAUGUGCAUGGGGCCUUGUAUUUGGAAAGCAGACGCUAUUGGUUGUCUGUGUUAGAGCUUCUGUUAAAAAAGGCAGUCUGUUGUGAAUUCUAAUUACCUAUUAACUAACUAAGGUUUACACACUGCCUAAGUGUCUACAUAUGCACUAGCUGUUUGGUUAAGUGUGAAUUUAUUGUAAUAUAAUUGUCAAGUCAACUUGUCUUGC